GAACGGAAAAACGUUUGGACUACAAUGAAAGAUCGUUAGAACAUUCGUUAUAGCAGGUAGGAUCGCCUUAGUUAUUACUUUAUUAUUCGGAUGAAAAACACCACACUUCUCGGAGUCGAAAAACCUUUAUUGCACACACUUGGAAGGGACACGAACGAACGAACGAAAAGGAUGUCUUAAACUAUCGAUCUGGUCUAUCGGCCGUGUCUAGUAACAUCUUCUACUUAUUCCCUUUUGUAACUAGCCGUCAGCAUAUAGAUGGCGAGCGAGAACAUACGUUGUCAUUUUCAACACAUAAUUAUGGGACCCUGAAAAUUUUUGCGAUUGUCACACGUCAGUGAAACAAAAAAUGUCAAUCAUCUGUCAUUAAAGAAUCAGAAAGAACUGAAAAUUAUGUUUGGUGUUGUAAUAUCGGAAAAUAAAGAUGGAAAUUUUUUC